CGGGACCUUCGGGUUCUGCGGGGAAAGAUGGCCUCUAUUUAUAAGCUGUCACCGAGAGACGGGCUCGCGGCCCAUUAGCUAGUUGGCGGGGUAAUGGCCCACCAAGGCGAUGAUGGGUAGCUGGUCUGAGAGGAUGACCAGCCACACUGGAACUGAGACACGGUCCAGACUCCUACGGGAGGCAGCAGUCGGGAAUCUUGGACAAUGGGGGAAACCCUGAUCCAGCCACGCCGCGUGGGUGAUGGAGGCCUUCGGGUUGUAAAGCCCUGUCAGAAGGGAAGAAAGGGUCUUGACCUAAUACGUCCGGGCCUUGACGGUACCUUCAGAGGAAGCACCGGCUAACUACGUGCCAGCAGCCGCGGUAAGACGUAAGGUGCAAGCGUUGCUCGGAAUUACUGGGCGUAAAGGGCGCGU
rnacentral:rRNA from 1 species